rnacentral:rRNA from 1 species
UACGAAGGGGGCUAGCGUUGUUCGGAUUUACUGGGCGUAAAGCGCACGUAGGCGGCUCAGUAAGUCAGGUGUGAAAACUCCAGGCUCAACCUGGAGACGCCACCUGAUACUGCUGUGGCUAGAGUCCGGUAGGGGAGCAUGGAAUUCCUGGUGUAGCGGUGAAAUGCGCAGAUAUCAGGAGGAACACCAAUGGCGAAGGCAGCACUCUGGGACGUGACUGACGCUGAGACGCGAAAGCGUGGGGAGCAAACAGG